CGCACGGGUGAGUAACACGUGACUAACCUACCCUCGAGUGGGGAAUAACCUAGAGAAAUCUGGGCUAAUACCGCAUAACACUUACGAGUCAAAGCAGCAAUGCGCUUGAGGAGGGGGUCGCGGCAGAUUAGCUAGUUGGCGGGGUAAUGGCCCACCAAGGCAAUGAUCUGUAUCCGGCCUGAGAGGGCGCACGGACACACUGGAACUGAAACACAGUCCAG
rnacentral:rRNA from 1 species